GACGAACGCUGGCGGCGUGCUUAACACAUGCAAGUCGAACGGAAAGGCCCUGCUUUUGUGGGGUGCUCGAGUGGCGAACGGGUGAGUAACACGUGAGUAACCUGCCAUUGACUUUGGGAUAACGUCAGGAAACUGGGGCUAAUACCGGAUAGGAGCUCCUGCUGCAUGGUGGGGGUUGGAAAGUUUCGGCGGUUGGGGAUGGGCUCGCGGCUUAUCAGCUUGUUGGUGGGGUAGUGGCUUACCAAGGCUUUGACGGGUAGCCGGCCUGAGAGGGUGACCGGCAACAUUGGGACUGAGAUACGGCCCAGACUCCUACGGGAGGCAGCAGUGGGGAAUAUUGCACAAUGGGCGGGAGCCUGAUGCAGCAACGCCGCGUGCGGGAUGACAGCCUUCGGGUUGUAAACCGCUUUCGCCUGUAACGAAGCGUGAGUGACGGUAAUGGGUAAAGAAGCACCGGCUAACUACGUG
rnacentral:rRNA from 1 species